rnacentral:lncRNA from 1 species
AAUGGGCAUCCCACCCCAGCACUUUCUAGGAAGAAGGGCAGCAUUUUGAAGGGCUGGAAGUAGAGGAAGGAGGUUGCGGGUAGAAGACUCCAUACUUUCUGUGACGCCUAUUCCUUAGUCAGAGGCAUGGCUUGCCUGGGCCUCUGGGUGCAGCUGCACAGAUUCAAGCAGCCUGAAGGAAAGGUGACUGACAGCUAAUGAUCUGAAAAGAACUUGUCUCAACUCAACGUCAUUCCUGGCAUUAUCGAACAAAGCAAUAAACCUCACAGAAUGGAAGCUACAGUGUCCAGGGCCAGCUCUGCUAAGGUAACCAAAGACAGAGAAGGAGGCAAAAGUGACAGAAGAAACUCAUGGGAAACCAACAGAAAUAUAAUGGCUUUGGCAGAAAUGCAAUUAUCAAUUGGGAGCUUGUGAUGAAUGUUUUCUCAGUAUCCUAUGCUGAAAACAGGUAGAUACUAAUAUCGAUCUUCAAGGGAGGGCUGUUGAGUAUUGAAUAAGACAAAAACAUGGAAGCAAUCAGCACCAUGCUGGAAUCAAGGCUAUCUGUAAUCACAGGGCUAUUUGAAAAAGAGAAGAAAAGGUGUCUUGAAAUUCAACCAACAUGUUUCAAUUAUUUGCUCCUAAGAACAACAGAAGUUUCAACAUUCUGCCAACAGAGUAACUCCUGGAAGAUUGGCACAGAAGAAGGCACAAGGAAGUCAGUGAUAAAAAUAUUUAAGCAGCUUUGUCUGCCUUAGACCUUCCAACUAAAAGUACAGCAAGUGGAAUGGAAUGCUAAUAUGAGGAU